UACAGAGGGUGCAAGCGUUGUUCGGAAUUAUUGGGCGUAAAGGGCGCGUAGGCGGUGCGGUAAGUCUGCGGUGAAAUCUCCCGGCUCAACUGGGAGGCUGCCGUGGAAACUGCCGUGCUUGAGUGUGGGAGAGGUGAGUGGAAUUCCCGGUGUAGCGGUGAAAUGCGUAGAUAUCAGGAGGAACACCUGUGGCGAAAGCGGCUCACUGGACCACAACUGACGCUGAUGCACGAAAGCUAGGGGAGCAAACAGG
rnacentral:rRNA from 1 species